GUGAGGAAUAUUGGUCAAUGGGCGAGAGCCUGAACCAGCCAAGUCGCGUGAAGGAAGAAGGAUCUAUGGUUCGUAAACUUCUUUUGCAGGGGAAUAAAGUGCAGGACGUGUCCUGUUUUGUAUGUACCCUGAGAAUAAGGAUCGGCUAACUCCGUGCCAGCAGCCGCGGUAAUACGGAGGAUCCGAGCGUUAUCCGGAUUUAUUGGGUUUAAAGGGUGCGUAGGUGGUUUGAUAAGUCAGCGGUGAAAGUUUGCAGCUUAACUGUAAAAAUGCCGUUGAAACUGUCGGGCUUGAGUGUAAAUGAGGUAGGCGGAAUGCGUGGUGUAGCGGUGAAAUGCAUAGAUAUCACGCAGAACUCCGAUUGCGAAGGCAGCUUACUAAGCUACAACUGACACUGAAGCACGAAAGCGUGGGGAUCAAACAGGAUUAGAAACCCGAGUAGUCC
rnacentral:rRNA from 1 species